rnacentral:rRNA from 1 species
AUUGAACGCUGGCGGAAUGCUUUACACAUGCAAGUCGAGCGGCAGCACGGGGGCAACCCUGGUGGCGAGCGGCGAACGGGUGAGUAAUACAUCGGAACAUGCCCAGUCGUGGGGGAUAACACUUCGAAAGAAGUGCUAAUACCGCAUACGUCCUGAGGGGGAAAGCGGGGGAUCGCAAGACCUCGCGCGAUUGGAGUGGCCGAUGUCAGAUUAGCUAGUUGGUGGGGUAAAGGCCUACCAAGGCAACGAUCUGUAGCUGGUCUGAGUGGAUGAUCAGCCACACUGGGACUGAGACACGGCCCAGACUUCUACGGGAGGCAGCAGUGGGGAAUUUUGGACAAUGGGGGCAACCCCGAUCCAGCCAUUCCGCGUGAGUGAAGAAGGCCUUCGGGUUGUAAAGCUCUUUCGGCAGGAACGAAACGGUGAGCUCUAACAUAGCUUGCUAAUGACGGUACCUGAAGAAGAAGCACCGGCUAACUACGUG